rfam:Mesitornis unicolor contig5569, whole genome shotgun sequence.
UCCAAGGUUUUUAUCAAAACCACUAGAUUUUCCCAGAUACUUUCAAG